AGUCGUCCCGUACACUCGACCCACUUCCACUGUGAUCGCACGUGGGUGGCACGCUACGUGCGAGUAUUUAUUGGAGGCGUGAUUGGAAUACGGAUGGGGCCUGGUCCGUGCUCUUCACUUGCUAUUCUUCCUCCUCCUGCAAUUCUUAUCACUCCCUCAUCUCUUUUCAGCUGUCGAUAUUUUGAUCAUUGGUUGGACUCAGAGGAAGGGGAAGACCGAAGCCGAAGCCCAUGGAAACUCGCAAGCAAUUGAGCUCUCCUUCGUCGUUCGCUGCGGAUCUCUUUGGUUCAAACCAGUCGCAGUCGCCGUCAGCUAAAACGGGAAUUUUCGCGUCAAUUUUCCCUCCACCGUCGACGGUCAGAGAUCAUGAUUCCUUGUGCUUGGAUCUCAAGGAAUACACUCAAUCCCAUGAUUCCUCGGGGAUCGUGCGAGAAACUGCAGAGAUUACAGCUAAGAAAAGGGAAGGUGCCACAGUCAACAGCAUAGCAAACAAGGAAAGGAAUUCAGUUUUCCAGCAAAAUGUAGAACCGUGUCCUCUAAGUUCAUCUCUUUAUUAUGGUAGCCAAGAAGACAUGUAUAUCCAUUCUUCAAGUACGAAUAACUCUGGCUCCAACCCCAUUUUCACGAAAGAUCCAGUGGAAGAUGAUCCUAAUGGAAACAACUCGCAGAGUGCUUCUAGGGGAAAUUGGUGGCAAGGGUCACUUUAUUAUUAAGACUUUCCCCAGUAUGGAUGUGAAUUCUUCUAUUUGCCAAGGCAUUCUCAAAACCACUGCAGGAGUUUUGAUUUGGUCUGUAUUGUGUGGAAGGCAUGCAGUAUUUUCAUAUUCUCAUAUGGUCUGUUGGACACAAGUUUUAAGGAGACUGUAUUAACUUGCCAGAAGAAUGUAACUCUUCAACACACGUACGCUACGUCACGCAUGCAAUCCAUUUGUCAGCAGAAGGAGAUCCACCGACAUUGAACGCCGCCGCCGCCGCAAUCGUUUAAUUCUCCGGGCAUUGUUCUACUUCUCCUUUUCCUCCGUUACUAAAAGCAGGGAAAACGAGCUAGACCGACGACUUCAAUGUUAAACUGGGGCCGUAAUAUGGUUGAAAGAAAUUUAUUUAUAAUAUUAUACAACUGUAAGUGUAUUAUCUUAUAUUAUAUUAUUAUAUUGUCCGUAUUUUUAAUUUAAUUUUAAAAUCACUUUUUCUUUUCUUUUUUUUAAUCUUUUCAAUACUCACCGUCAUCUUUGUUACUCGUUUCAAUAUUAGAAAACUAUAUAUUUUAGGUUUGACUAUAUCAAAAUGCUGCCUUGACUGUUGAAUAGUUGAUUUGCCUAUCUUACAUUUCAA